UACGAAGGGGGCUAGCGUUGCUCGGAAUCACUGGGCGUAAAGCGCACGUAGGCGGAUCUUUAAGUCAGGGGUGAAAUCCUGGAGCUCAACUCCAGAACUGCCUUUGAUACUGGGGAUCUCGAGUCCGGAAGAGGUGAGUGGAACUCCGAGUGUAGAGGUGAAAUUCGUAGAUAUUCGGAAGAACACCAGUGGCGAAGGGCGGCUCACUGGUCCGGUACUGACGCUGAGGUGCGAAAGCGUGGGGAGCAAACAGGG
rnacentral:rRNA from 1 species